rnacentral:rRNA from 1 species
GACGAACGCUGGCGGCGUGCUUAACACAUGCAAGUCGAACGAUGAAGCCCUUCGGGGUGGAUUAGUGGCGAACGGGUGAGUAACACGUGGGCAAUCUGCCCUUCACUCUGGGACAAGCCCUGGAAACGGGGUCUAAUACCGGAUAUGACACACGGCCGCAUGGUCUGUGUGUGGAAAGCUCCGGCGGUGAAGGAUGAGCCCGCGGCCUAUCAGCUUGUUGGUGGGGUGAGGCCUACCAAGGCGACGACGGGUAGCCGGCCUGAGAGGGCGACCGGCCACACUGGGACUGAGACACGGCCCAGACUCCUACGGGAGGCAGCAGUGGGGAAUAUUGCACAAUGGGCGAAAGCCUGAUGCAGCGACGCCGCGUGAGGGAUGACGGCCUGGUGUAACU